GUUUGAUCAUGGCUCAGAACGUACGCUGGCGGCACGCCUAACACAUGCAAGUCGAGCGGGGUAGCAAUACCUAGCGGCAGACGGGUGCGUAACAUGUGGGAAUCUGCCUUUUGGUUCGGAACAACAUGGGGAAACCUGUGCUAAUACCGGAUAAGUCCUAACGGAGAAAGUUUUAAUGCCAAAAGAUGAGCCCGCAUUUGAUUAGCUUGUUGGUGAGGUAAAAGCUCACCAAGGCUAUAAUCAAUAGCUGAUUUGAGAGGAUGAUCAGCCACACUGGGACUGAGAUACGGCCCAGACUCCUACGGGAGGCAGCAGUGGGGAAUCUUGCACAAUGGGCGAAAGCCUGAUGCAGCGAUGCCGCGUGAGUGAAGAAGGCCUUUGGGUUGUAAAGCUCUUUUGUCGGGAAAGAUAAUGACUGUACCCGAAGAAUAAGGUCCGGCUAACUUCGUGCCAGCAGCCGCGGUAAUACGAAGGGACCUAGCGUAGUUCGGAAUUACUGGGCGUAAAGAGUAUGUAGGCGGCUAGAUAAGUUAAUUGUGAAAGCCCAAAGCUUAACUUUGGAACUGCAAUUAAAACUAUUUAGCUGGAGUAUGAUAGAGGAAAGCGGAAUACAUAGUGUAGAGGUGAAAUUCGUAGAUAUUAUGUAGAACACCAGUUGCGAAGGCGGCUUUCUGGAUCAUUACUGACGCUGAGAUACGAAAGUAUGGGUAGCGAAGAGGAUUAGAUACCCUCGUAGUCCAUACCAUAAACGAUGAUUAUUAAAUGUGGGGAAUUAUUUCUCUGUAUUAUAGCUAACGCGUUAAAUAAUCCGCCUGGGGAGUACGACCGCAAGGUUAAAACUCAAAUGAAUUGACGGGGACCCG
rnacentral:rRNA from 1 species